rnacentral:rRNA from 1 species
UACGAAGGGGGCUAGCGUUGCUCGGAAUCACUGGGCGUAAAGCGCACGUAGGCGGCUUCUUAAGUCAGGGGUGAAAUCCUGGAGCUCAACUCCAGAACUGCCUUUGAUACUGAGAAGCUUGAGUCCGGGAGAGGUGAGUGGAACCGCGAGUGUAGAGGUGAAAUUCGUAGAUAUUCGCAAGAACACCAGUGGCGAAGGCGGCUCACUGGCCCGAUACUGACGCUGAGGUGCGAAAGCGUGGGGAGCAAACAGG